rnacentral:lncRNA from 1 species
UCUAUCAUAUGAAUUUUAUAUUAUUGUGAUGUAAUUUCUAUUUAACAAACUCCAAAAGCAUUAGAAUUAUUGUCUUCUACUCAGAUUCACAAUAAAAAUGAGCUAUUAUCAUCCUUAGGGGCAUUCAGGUCAAUUUACCAACCAGGACAGACAAUCGACACAAAAUAAUCAGGAUUGCCAAACACCCUGCUUAUUCAGACAGCAGAUUCUCCAGGCAGCGGCUUAUCAGAUAAGCUUGCUUGCCAGAUAAGCGAGUUCCAGAAAAGCGACUCCAAACAGGGCC